rnacentral:rRNA from 1 species
UACGAAGGGUGCAACCGUUGCUCGGAAUUAUUGGGCGUAAAGCGCACGUAGGCGGCUUUGCAAGUCGGAUGUGAAAUCCCUCGGCUUAACCAAGGAAGUGCAUCCGAAACUGCAGAGCUUGAGUACUUAAGAGGAUCGCGGAAUUCCCGGUGUAGAGGUGAAAUUCGUAGAUAUCGGGAGGAACACCGGUGGCGAAGGCGGUUCUCUGGGCCUGUACUGACGCUGAGGAGCGAAAGCGUGGGGAGCGAACAGG